AACCUUAUGGACCUGCGGGCGUAUACCUGCGGAGGGAUCAUUACAAGUGACCCCGGUCUAACCACCGGGAUGUUCAUAACCCUUUGUUGCCCGACUCUGUUGCCUCCGGGGCGACCCUGCCUUCGGGCGGGGGCUCCGGGUGGACACUUCAAACUCUUGCGUAACUUUGCAGUCUGAGUAAACUUAAUUAAUAAAUUAAAACUUUCAACAACGGAUCU
rnacentral:misc_RNA from 1 species